UCUACGGCCACCAUGUCCAGACAUCCUGAGGGACACGGAGGAAGAUCAAGACAAGAAAAGUGAAGAUGUGCUCUCCUGUUUCUCAGCUCA